AACGAACGCUGGCGGCAGGCCUUAUACAUGCAAGUCGAGCGCAUCCUUCGGGAUGAGCGGCGGACGGGUGAGUAACGCGUGGGAAUGUGCCCUUCUCUACGGAAUAGCCACUGGAAACGGUGAGUAAUACCGUAUACGCCCUUUGGGGGAAAGAUUUAUCGGAGAAGGAUCGGCCCGCGUUAGAUUAGGUAGUUGGUGGGGUAACGGCCUACCAAGCCUACGAUCUAUAGCUGGUUUUAGAGGAUGAUCAGCAACACUGGGACUGAGACACGGCCCAGACUCCUACGGGAGGCAGCAGUGGGGAAUCUUAGACAAUGGGGGCAACCCUGAUCUAGCCAUGCCGCGUGAGUGAUGAAGGCCUUAGGGUCGUAAAGCUCUUUCGCCUGUGAUGAUAAUGACAGUAGCAGGUAAAGAAACCCCGGCUAACUCCGUG
rnacentral:rRNA from 1 species